UUGGGGCUCCAUAGAACUCAGGAUACUGUUCUUCGUAUUCAUCAGGGUCCGAAUCUUUUUCCUUCACCUGACUGUCCCAUAAAGAAGGUACUCCUCCUACAUUUUCAUGUUUUUUGCUUCGCAUAAAUAUUUUCCAUUUCUUCACUUUCAUCUUCAUAUUCACAACCAUAGAUUUCUUGUCUUCUCGACCACGGUCAUCGUAAGAGUAUCGUCCGGCGCGCUUCAUCUUCCGAAAAAAACACCGGAGAUUACCGGAGUUAUCUCCGUAGUUUUCUUAUCUGGUGUUCUAAAUUUAGAGUCGAUGGUUAGUUAAUCCAGAGACAAAUUUGGAAAACAUAUAUAAACCAUAGAUUCUUUCUUUUUCCAUUAAGACCCGAUUCUACUCAAUCCCGGUUUUUUUUUGAUUCCUUUCUCAUCCAUAAAUCUGUGGAUCAGGGCUGCUUUACUCCAAUGACUUUUCCCAGCAAACACAUUUGACAGCAGUGCAUAAGGAGAACAAUCAUCUGG
rnacentral:lncRNA from 1 species